AAGCGGUGGAGCAUGUGGUUUAAUUCGAUGCAACGCGAAGAACCUUACCUGGGCUUGACAUCCACGGAACCUGCUGGAAACAGUGGGGUGCCGUUUCGGGAGCCGUGAGACAGGUGCUGCGUGGCUGUCGUCAGCUCGUGUCGUGAGAUGUUGGGUUAAGUCCCGCAACGAGCGCAACCCUUGCCUUUAGUUGCCAGCAGUUCGGCUGGGCACUCUAAAGGGACUGCCGGUGUCAAACCGGAGGAAGGUGGGGAUGACGUCAAGUCCUUAUGGCCUUUAUGGCCAGGGCUACACACGUACUACAAUGGCCGGUACAAAGGGCAGCGACAUUGCGAGAUGGAGCGAAUCCCGAAAAGCCGGUCUCAGUCCGGAUUGGAGUCUGCAACUCGACUCCAUGAAGUUGGAAUCGCUAGUAAUCGUGGAUCAGCAUGCCCAACGGUCCGAAUACGUUCCGGGCCUU
rnacentral:rRNA from 1 species